CACUGCAGAUCAGUAUGACACAAAACAAUAUAUCUUAAUGGAAUAAGAAGAUGACUAGGAGUUGUUCAAAAGGAAGAACAAGAAAUCAGUUGGAGCAGAAACAGAGAAGGAUUCUGAGGAGUGGCAGUGAUACAGGCAGAAAAAAACGAUCUGUGAAACAAACCUUUUGACUUGCAUCUGUGGAGUGAACUUGGACUCUGAGACUGAAGAAGAAGGCAGAAUUCUUUGGCUCUCAUUCUCAAGAAGUUGGACGACAAGAAGGAGGAGAAAGACAACAUGCUCAGAUUCUUCUAUCCUGCUUCUUGAACUCCUAUUCUAAAAACCCCAAAAUUCUACAUUUUCACUUGGUGAUAAAUUCAAUAGCAUUCUACUCAGACUCUUGUGGCUUGUAACUUCUUGCACAAAGCUGGUAAUUGUUUCUAGGGGCUAAAAUCAAAGGCACAGGUGUUUUUGACUCUGUGCCAAGGUCUCUGAGCCCCCUGACAGGGACUCGAGUCCUCCGGGGCAGCCAGAGGAAUUUCUUGGGUUCUGACAAACCUGACAAAUCUUAUAUCUGUUUUUUAUGGAUCUUUCUGGGGAAAAAAUGUUCCUGCAAUAUCUGUUUCCUUCUGUUUUCCUUAGAUUUUGUUGCUCAGGAUCAAGAGACUUGUUUUUUUUUGCUUUCGGGACACUGUAAAUAAAAACUUAAAAGGUGAUUUGAGAUACGUAGGUUUAAAUCAGACUUAAAAAGUUGCAUUUAUGCAUUUAAUAUAUUUCCAAUAUUGUGCAUCAUAUGGUAACAAACCUUUAAAAAUGUGGUAGGCAGUGCUAAGCACAGCAGGAUUGUUAAGCUUAAACAACAUCCAAAGCAUCAGACUUACCUGAAGAUAAGUCAGAACUACUGACAUUUUCUUUGACUUCAGUAGGUGCUAAAGAAGGGUUAGUUAUGAGACUCCUCAUAUAAUGACCUUUAAUUUUAAAAUUAAGGUCUAGAAAUGUGCA